CGGCGCACGGGUGAGUAACACGUAUCCAACCUGCCCUUUACUCGGGGAUAGCCUUUCGAAAGAAAGAUUAAUACCCGAUAGUAUAAUGAUUCCGCAUGGUUUCAUUAUUAAAGGAUUCCGGUAAAGGAUGGGGAUGCGUUCCAUUAGGUUGUUGGUGAGGUAACGGCUCACCAAGCCUUCGAUGGAUAGGGGUUCUGAGAGGAAGGUCCCCCACAUUGGAACUGAGACACGGUCCAA
rnacentral:rRNA from 1 species